GGGGACGAUGGCAUCUUCCCCUCGGGUAGAGGCUGGGAGAGGGGUACAGAGGGCAACAGCGCCUUCCCCUCGGGUAUAGACCAGGAGAGCAGCUAAUGGGGAAAAUGGCACUUUCAGUUCAGGUAGAGAUGAGGAUAGGAGUACAGGGGACAAUAGCGUCUUCCUCUCAGGUAGAGAGCAGGAAGGUGGUACAGAGUAAGGGAAUGGUGCCUUCGCCUCAGGUAAAGAUCUGAAGAGGGGUACGAGGAGGGCGUGGUGCUUUCCCCUCAGGUAGAGACUGUGAGGGGGGUGCAGUGGGAAAAUGGCGCCAUCCCCUCAGGUAUUGAUCAGGAGAGGGGUACGGGAGGCAAUGGCAUCUUCCCCUCAAUUAGACACCAGGAGAGGGGUAAAGAAGACAAUGGCACCUUCGCCUCAGGAGGAAUAUUGCACAUAUCCAUGGAAUAACUGAUGCAGGUGACACACGGACUAUUGCAGAUACUCAGAAAAAUGUUAAGCUCUUGAACUGAUAUCAUUCCAGUGAUCUCAUUUAAGAUACCACUCACUGUGGUAGAGGAGAGAGAAGGAGUACUGCUGAUAUCCCUGUGACAGAUACGGCAACAUUUGAUUUACCACCACUUACACAGAGAGUUCAAACCUUCACAUUCGCCUGGAUUGAACCAACCCACGUGGCAGGGAACAGGCACCAUCCCUGCCCCCAUCUCACCCCACGGAUGAUGCCGGUCACACACCGACUCACGAGGCUGCACCAUGCCAGGACAACCCAAACCCCACAGUGGCAGUUUGGUGGUUGAUCCCUGGAGGGGACAAACCCUCUCUUUGGUGUCAGGAGCUCCUCUGCCCACCCUGGGCAUCGGGAAGGGGCAGCUGCUGGUAGCCCCCAGCAUCCUCCUCGCCUUGUCCUUCCCAGGGAACUGAGCCCUUUUUGGCUCCACUCAUCCUUUGGAUGUUCUCCUGUGGCUGGAAAUGCGCUGGAAGAGCUGGGAGCAGCUCAGUAGCCUCUCAGGGGGUUCUGGAAGUACUGUCUCAGGGUUUGUUUGCCCGUGGGCGCUCCUACGGCAGGGUGGGCUUUGUCAACUAGACGUUGACAUCCAGGUUGCCACCCCCCAGGGGUGUGUUAUGGUGCUUAUGCUGGCACGUGCCAUAAAUCAUCCUGCUGGGAAUCAGCACAGUGACAGGGCAGGAAGGUGCCCUGGCUCCAGUGCUGGCAGCUGAGCACCCCAUCUCUGUACACCCAAGAUGGACUGAGGCAGCCACCAGCAGCACCCAAAUCAGCCCUGGGAGGGCAGCAGUGCCAGGGAAAACCAGAGAGCACCACACUGCUUGUCUGUGACAGCCCCAACAAUCUUUAAAGUAAAAAAACCACAACAGGAAUCUCCAAAAUCACACCGGAGCCCCUAAAAGUAAAGCUCAUAACACUAGUGAAGCAUCGCGCUUCGUGAGGGGCAGGGUGGGAGAGGCAGGAACUGGGGGAGAGGAGAGGACACACACACACAGACACACACACACAGACACACAGACACUCACACUCUCACACUCACUCUCACACUCACACACGAGCUUCUCUCAUGCUUGAGGUAGAACAUUGCUUUCAAAGGUUUGGAAGUGCUUUACAUGGGAACGACGACGACGAAGCCGCCGGGGCGGCAGGUACAGAGCGUGACUGCUGAGGUAGGACCAUGCUUGUACUGACCAAGUGCUAUGCUACUUGCUUUUUGAACACGAAGGAAGACGCAGGCAUUUCUGCUUCCCAGAAGACAUUCAUUCCGGUUGAGAGUCAAUCAGCAAAAAAAGUAUCCUGAGAAAUAGCAAAAGUGUACAAAGUCAUCAAAUCCACGGAGAGACAGCCUUCCUGGGCCUCGAUUUUUGGAGUCAAGUUAGAAGGAUUUCUCCAAAUCCAGUCUUCUGGAAAUAAAAAAUAGAUCCAAAAAGUAGUCCUAAAGCUGCUGAUCAGGAAAAAGUCUGGGACGCCAGGACAUGCUCCACCAUAUUCCCAGUCUGUCAGAGACGGGAGAGUUUGUCAAACUCUGCCAAGGAGUCUGUUACUUAGCAGCUGAGGGGAAAAUUCAUCGUGACCAGUCUCCGCGAAGCCGCCAUCGGAAGAAACACACCGAGAGGCUCGAAGGAGAGGUCAGACAGAUAAAACUUCACAGAGUUUCCAAAAGGCUGUAUACAUAUAUAUAUAUUUAUAUAUAUAUAUAAAAAUAAAGCAAAACAAAAAAAUAACAAUCAGACCGUAGAAAUC